rnacentral:tRNA from 1 species
CGGGCCGUAGUCUAGCCUGGUAGGACGCACGGCUCGGUACGGCGAGGCGCGGCCCAGCCGUGAGCAAGCCCGUGUGAUCCCGGGUUCAAAUCCCGGCGGCCCCA